rnacentral:rRNA from 1 species
AUGAAAAUCAUAAGUUGGAACUGCCGAGGGCUCGGGAAUGGCCCGACAGUUCGUUCUCUUCUCGAGCUGGGAAGAGUGGAGGAUCCCGAUGUUUUGUUCCUAUGUGAGACACAGUUGAAAGAAAAGAAGUUGGGGAGGUUUAGGUGGUCGUUGGGGCUCGCCAACAUGUUAGCUUGGAAGGAUGAAAGUAGUGGGAGGGGAAUAGCCUUGUUUUGGCGGAGGGGUUUGGAUGUUUCUAUGAGAUCAUAUGGACGGAGACAUGUGGAUGUGGAUAUAGUGAGAGAGGAUGGAAUGGUUUGGCGUCUGACGGGGGUUUAUGGAGAGUCGGUUAUGGAGAGGAAGAAGAAGACGUGGAAGCUAUUGCGUAUUUUAAAACAACAACACCAGAAUGGACGCCUGUGGCUAUGCCUCGGCGAUUUCAAUGAAGUCCUCACAAGCGUUGAGAAGCUAGGAGGUGUUGAUCGCCCACAACACUAUCUUGAUGAUUUUUGGCAAGCACUGGAUGUCUGUGAGCUGAGGGACAUAGGGAUGAGGGAGAUAUGUACACUUGGAGGAAUCAUAGCAGGGAGUUGCGGACAUAUAUCUGUGAGAGAUUGGAUCGGGGCCACUACAAACAAUGAAUGGUGUGAUGCUUUUCCAAACCAUAUGGUGGUGAAUGGUGAACCACGACACUCGGAUAACAGACCAGUGGUGGUUCACCUAGAAGGCAUGGACCGGGGAUGGAAGAGGAGGGAUUGUAAUUUCCGUUUUGAAGCUCGUUGGCUGUAG